CUGUAAUGACCCCGCCUCCCGGUCGGUGGCGCUGCUGUCUGCCACACAGGAAGCAGAGCCGCUUCCUGUGAGCUUCCGGUUCCGCUUGUGUCGCUUUGUUUUGUAGUGUUCGGGCAGCAGCCUCCUCCGGUCUCUGGUCUCUGUGAUUUUUCUCCUGCUCUCAUGUAUCGACCUCCGCCAAGACAUCAACGAAGUCCUGGAAGUCCGUCACAGACUGGACGUUUUCCAUCCCCCGGUUCCGGCUGGGGGUUCCACGGAGAUCGCUCACCGUACCGGGGCUCCGCACACCGCGGGAGUUCUCCGUGGGGCUGCCCGCCGUGCUCUCCUAGGUCUCCGGCCUUCUCCCCGGGUUCCAAACGAGGAUACAGAGACGGUUCUCCCGCCGAGUUCAGCAGUGGAUCUCGGGGUUCCGCAGGCUACAUGCAGCGCGGGAACAGUGGUUUUCGGCGGCCUCAUUUCAGUCCCCGUUCAGCUUCGAGCUUCCAGCCAAGACCUUCAGAUGCUUCGGUGGAGAAAUUUUUCAGCCCGUCGAUGAUGGAGGAUCCCUGGAAAACCCUGCAGCCCAAAACAGCAGCAGAGGCAGCUGCCAGGAGGUGGUCACCUCAACAGAGCAGCCAGUAAACAACAACAGAUAUCCAGGAAACAACAACAGACCAGCGUGUAAACAACAACAGACCAGCGUGUAAACAGCAGCAGAGGCUGCAGUCUGGUCACCUCAACAGAACAUCCAGGAAACAACAACAAGAGACUAAACAGUAAACAACAACAAGAGACUAAACAGGAAACAACAACAAGAGGCCAGCGUGUAAAAUGUGCAGGCUGCAGUCAGUUUGGCAGCUUUAGGGAUCAACCACUUUGAUUAGAGGAUAUUUUAGAUGAUAUCAUUUGAAAAUAUUUUAUCUUCAUGUUUUAUACAAAAACAGUUUUAAUGUUGUUUUAGAAUGGACACGUUCUAAAGGUUCUUUACGCAUUACAAUCGAUUUGCUGAGAGAUGUAGAGCAGCUGUACUUGAAGCUUGUACUUGUACUUGGUAACUUGAAAUCUCUGGCAUGAAUAAAGUUUUAUCUUAUCUUAAU
rnacentral:lncRNA from 1 species